rnacentral:rRNA from 1 species
AGAGUUUGAUCAUGGCUCAGAUUGAACGCUGGCGGCAGGCCUAACACAUGCAAGUCGAACGGUAGCACAGAGAGCUUGCUCUCGGGUGACGAGUGGCGGACGGGUGAGUAAUGUAUGGGGAUCUGCCCGAUAGAGGGGGAUAACUACUGGAAACGGUGGCUAAUACCGCAUAAUCUCUCAGGAGCAAAGCAGGGGAACUUCGGUCCUUGCGCUAUCGGAUGAACCCAUAUGGGAUUAGCUAGUAGGUGAGGUAAUGGCUCACCUAGGCGACGAUCCCUAGCUGGUCUGAGAGGAUGAUCAGCCACACUGGGACUGAGACACGGUCCAGACUCCUACGGGAGGCAGCAGUGGGGAAUAUUGCACAAUGGGCGCAAGCCUGAUGCAGCCAUGCCGCGUGUAUGAAGAAGGCCUUCGGGUUGUAAAGUACUUUCAGCGGGGAGGAAGGGAGUGAGGUUAAUAACCUCAUUCAUUGACGUUACCCGCAGAAGAAGCACCGGCUAACUCCGUGCCAGCAGCCGCGGUAAUAC